rnacentral:rRNA from 1 species
UCUGGCCCCUCUCGGGGUCCGAGUUGUAAUUUGUAGAGGAUGCUUUUGGCGAGGCGCCGCCCGAGUUCCCUGGAACGGGACGCCACAGAGGGUGAGAGCCCCGUCUGGCUGGCCGCCGAGCCUCUGUWAAGCUCCUUCGACGAGUCGAGUAGUUUGGGAAUGCUGCUCAAAAUGGGAGGUAUAUKUYUUCUAAWGCUAAAUWCUGGCCAGAGACCGAUAGCGCACAAGUAGAGUGAUCGAWAGAUGAWAAGCACCUUGAWAAGAGGGUUAAWUAGUACGUGAWAUUGUUGAHAGGGAAGCGCUUGUGACCAGACUUGGGCGCGGCGGAUCAUCCGGGGUUCUCCCCGGUGCACUUCGCCGCGUCCAGGCCAGCAUCAGUUCGUCGCGGGGGAUAWWGGCUUCGGGAACGUGGCUCCCCCGGGAGUGUUAUAGCCCGUCGCACAAUACCCUGCGGUGGACUGAGGACCGCGCAUCUGCWAGGWUGCUGGCGUAAUGGUCACCAGCGACCCGUCUUGAWACACGGACCAAGGAGUCGUCUUCGUAUGCKAGUGUUCGGGUGUCAAACCCCUACGCGUAAU